rnacentral:rRNA from 1 species
UAGAUACCCUAUUAUUUGAAAUGUAGUUAAUUUUACUAAAGUAGUAGUAGUUAUGUUCUUGAAACUUAAAAAAUUUGGCGGUAUUUUAGUCUAUUCAGAGGAACCUGUCCUAUAAUCGAUAAUCCACGAUGGACCUUACUUAAAUUUGUUUAUCAGUUUAUAUACCGUCGUUAUAAGAAUAUUUUAUAAGAAUAAUAAUUUUCUAGAAUUUUUAUAAAAAUUUAUACCAGAUCAAGGUGUAGCUUAUGUUUAAGAAGAGAUGGGUUACAAUAAAUUUAUUUAUACGGAUUAAUAUUUGAAAAAAUGUUAUGAAGGUGGAUUUGAAUGUAAAAUUAUAAAGAUAAAUAAUUUGAUUUUAGCU